rnacentral:rRNA from 1 species
AACGAACGCUGGCGGCAUGGAUUAGGCAUGCAAGUCGAACGGAACUUCAAGUAGCAAUAUGAGGAGUUCAGUGGCGCAAGGGUGAGGAACACGUGAGCAACCUGCCCCUAAGCUCGGGAUAACCCGCCGAAAGGCGGGCUAAUACCGGAUGUGGAUAUGUCUCCGCAUGUGGGAAUGUCCAAAGAUUUAUCACUUAGGGAGGGGCUCGCGUCCCAUCAGCUAGUUGGUAGGGUAACGGCCUACCAAGGCGACGACGGGUAGCUGGUCUGAGAGGAUGGUCAGCCACACUGGGACUGAGACACUGCCCAGACUCCUACGGGAGGCUGCAGUCGAGAAUCUUCCGCAAUGGGCGCAAGCCUGACGGAGCGAUGCCGCGUGAGGGACGAAGGUCUUCGGAUUGUAAACCUCUGUCACCGUGGAGGAACAGAAUGACUGUACACGGAGAGGAAGUCACGGCUAACUACGUGCCAGCCGCCGCAGUAAUAC